UUGCUGGGAUUUGAACUCAGGACCUUUAGAAGAGCAGCCAGUGCUCUUAGCCGUUGAGCCAUCUCUCCAGCCCGGAUUCUUUCCUCUUCGAAAUGGGAAGGACUGGGAUAAUGCUAAGCUUCAACCCCUGCAGGCUUCUCCUCACUAUCUGCCCGGGCCAUAAGGAUCAACAAGCCAAUGCCAGGAUGGAACAUCCCUCCCACUCCAAGAACUUGCCGUUCUACCUCCCCUCAGUUCAGGGGUCACCACAGGACUGGGCCUCCCUGGACACGCCCUGGAGGUCUUCUCCCCGGCUUACUCCAGCCACACCGCAGGCAUCCGAGAGCCAGCAGGGCCCAGAGCAGGAGC